UUAAGAGCAAAAGAUGUCAAGAUUUUACAAUUGGAGGCUCAAGUUUGUGAAUUGGGAGCAUAUAUUAAAGACUUAUCAGCCGAAUUGAAGAGAGAGUAGGUUGAAGCAUUGGAGGAGGAUGAAGACUUAUCAUUAGAGCUGAAACUAGUAGAACUACUAUAGAUGAAUAGUGAAAUUCAAUCUUUUGAGUCUAGAGUGGUAGAAAGUUUGUAAAGAUUAGUCAAAUAUAUUUUUUUUAUCAAUUUUGUGUUUAUGAGGAUACUAUAUAAUUAAGAGUGGAGCUAUGUAGAAUAGGUAGGAUCUUUAUUUCUUACAAUAUAUUAUAUAAAAGAUUAAGAAUAGUCAGUAAACUGAUGAAUGGAUAUUUUAGAGGAUAUAAUAGAUGAUUAAGAAGAAAAAGUAGUUAAUAUUGGUGUAUAAUAAUUGGUAUCUAUUAGUAAGUAAAAAUCUGUUGAAGAAGAAGAAAAAAAAGGGACUAGACUGUGAGAGUCAAGAGCCAAGAUAAGCUUGGUGCUACCUCUUGUAUGUGAUUUCUUUUAGGAUAGAACUCUUAUUGAAAGAUUGGAAUUCCUUUUAGUUUUGAACUUGAUAAAGAAAAAAGACUAUAAUAAAAUAGAUAGAAAUUAUACAUUAUUAAAUGAAAAAUUGAAUAUU
rnacentral:lncRNA from 1 species